CACACACACACACAUAUAUAUAUAUAUAUAUGGAUGUAUGUAUGGUUGCAUGUAUGUUUCCAAUGAAUGAAAUAACUCCGAAAGAAAAUCAACAUCAUGCAUAACGACAACAAAGAAGAGAACAAUAGAAAGUGAGAGGAAGGUAAACAGAGAGAGAGGGGGGGUUGACGAAAGAGAGGAGAAGGGAGAGAAAGAAAGAAGGUUAAAAGAGGAGGAAAAGGAGAAGAAAAUAGAAAAUGUUUAGACUCUCUCAAGUUGUCUUCUAUAUUUGUACAUCAACAACUUGUUCCGGUACCUGCUGCAAGAGAGUACUGUUAAUUGAUAAUUGAGGAUCGAUAAUUGAUCAAUGGAUAAUUGAUAUUUGAGAAGAGAAGAAGUUGAAUGGCGGCAAAGAACAAAAAAAAAAUAAUCGAAUAAAACAAAAUAUUUUUAUGAGGUUUGUUGUUUUGGUUGCAUAUGAUGAACCAAAGAAGAAAUAUCGUGGUUUAAUACCAAGAAUCUAGAAUGGUCUAAAAUGACCGAUAAGAAAAGAGAAAACAGGACAUGAAAAAAAUAUAAAAGAAAGAAGAAAAAAAAGAAGGCUAGCACCUACAAUGAGAGCAUCGCAAAUAACAACAGCCACCAUAUCGAAGCACAUGGUAGCAAGAAUUUACAGAAAAUGCGAAGUACUUUGGUGACCUGGUUUUAAAUCCAACAUUGAGAUCAAUAAAUGAAAUGUAUAAUUCAAUUCGAUACCCCGGCGACUUACUCAUAUUUGUGCAAAUGCGUUCAUGCUGCCGAAGUAACCUUGAUGUAGGUUCACAUGGAUGACGAUACGAAACUGAAGGCCGCCCAUUUACGUUCUUGUAUUGCGAAAGCAGAAUGCUACAGCAGCGAUUCAUGAGCUUCCAAGAUUAACAACGUAACAGACAUGCAUGCUUUUGGCUGAAGUAAUACAUGAAGCAUUGAAUAUUUUAAAAAUCAAGAAACCCUCAGCUGUUACUACUGCUAAUAUCACUAAUACUACCAUUACGACGACAACGGCGACUACUACUACUACUACUACUACUACUACUACUACUACUACUACUACUACUACUUCUACUACUACUACUACUACUACUACUACUACUACUACUACUACUGCUGCUGCUGCUUCUACUAUUACUACUCCUACUGCUGCUUUACUUUUUCAUAUGCAUUUUAGCAAACAGAAAACUGACUUCAUGAGGAGGCAAAAAUGGAACCCUUAGUCUUAAAUCCUACAAUUUGUUGAUCCCUAAUUAUUAUUCUAUAAAGGUCUCUCAGUUUGUAUAAUUAUAUUUAAAAACUUGGGCUCGUUAGUUUUAUAUAAAAGAAAAUUUAAACGGAAGAAAAACUGCAAAACAAAAAUAAAGAGAAACAUUUCUGUAGUAUCGGAAAUCUACAAACGAAAUUUGGAACUCCGAGCCAUAAAUGUGAUAUAAAAAGAUAAAGGAAAUAUCUCAUAACAAUAAACGGCAGUUGACUGAAAACUAAUUGUAAUGUUAUAAAAAGCGCAUGUUUUAAAUAAAGUAUUUUUGUGCCAAAUAUA